AUGGGGAGAUUAAUAUUCAUCUUUCUGCUAUCCAUUUCCCUGUUUGAAGGGUGGAUGGUCCAGUCGGUUCCCUACGAUCAUACGGCGAGCCUCGAGUGCUUGAGCAGCCCGAUGAGAUCUCUGUACAAAGGCGGCAUUUUGCAGAACAGCGAGUUCGACAGCGGGUUGAUGGGCUGGCUGGUUCCGCCGGGCGUGAAGGCCGCCGUGAACAGCUCGCAGUCCGGCAACAAGUUCGCCGACGCCAAGAACAAGGACCAGCCGUCGCGUGGCGUCUAUCAAAAGAUCCACUUGAAGACUAACCACCACUACUCCCUGUCAGCAUGGUUGCAGGUUUCGUCCGGCACGGCGGUGGUGAAGGCGAUCUUCAAGGCCCCCAACGGCGCGUACAUCGGCGGCGGCGCCGUCGUGGCCAAGGCCGGCUGCUGGAGCAUGCUCAAGGGCGGCAUGACCGCUUAUUCAUCCGGGCCAGCCGAGUUCUUCUUCGAGGCGGAUGGUGCUACGGUGGACAUUCUGGUGGACAGCGUGUCCCUCCAGCCCUUCACCUUCGCCGAGUGGAAGAACCACACCAGUCUGUCGGCCGCCAAGGUCCGCAAGAGCGCCGUCAAGGUGGUCGCCCGGGGCGCCGACGGCAACCCGCUGGCGAACGCGGAGCUGAGCUUGAAGCUGCUCCGGCCCGGGUUCCCGCUGGGCAACGCCAUGACGGCGGAGAUCCUGAACAUCCCGGCCUACGAGAAGUGGUUCACGUCGCGGUUCACCGUGGCCAGCUUCGAGAACGCGAUGAAGUGGUACAGCACCGAGUGGAAGCGGAACCAGGAGAACUACAGCGUGCCGGACGCCAUGCUGGCCCUCGCCCAGAGGCACGGCAUCAAGGUGCGCGGGCACAACGUGUUCUGGGACACCAACAACACGCAGAUGGCGUGGGUGAACCCGCUGGGCGCCGACGAGCUCAAGGCGGCCAUGCAGAAGCGGCUGAGCUCCGUGGUGACGCGGUACGCCGGCAAGGUGAUCGCGUGGGACGUGGUGAACGAGAACCUCCACGGGCAGUUCUACGAGGGGCGGCUGGGCGCCAACGUGUCGGCGGAGCUGUACGGGGAGGUGGCCAAGAUCGACGCGAACGCGACGCUGUUCAUGAACGAGUACGGCACGCUGGAGUGGGCCUUGGACCUGACCGCCAUGGCCAGCAAGUACGCCGCCAAGAUGGAGCAGAUCCGCUCCUACCCCGGCAACGCCGGCAUCAAGCUCGCCGUCGGCCUCGAGAGCCACUUCGAGACGCCCAACAUCCCCUACAUGAGGGCGACGCUGGACAUGCUCGCGCAGCUCAAGGUCCCCAUCUGGCUCACCGAGAUCGACGUCUCGCCGAAGACGGGGCCAUACCAGGUGGAGUACCUGGAGGACGUGCUGCGGGAAGGCUACGGCCACCCCAACGUGGAGGGCAUGGUGCUCUGGGCGGCAUGGCACAAGCACGGUUGCUGGGUCAUGUGCCUCACGGACAACAACUUCACGAACCUCCCCGCCGGCAACGUCGUCGACAAGCUCAUCGCCGAGUGGAAGACGCACCCCGUAGCCGCCACCAUGGACGCCAAUGGCGUGGCUGAGCUGAACCUCGUCCAUGGCGAGUACAAGUUCACGGUGACUCACCCGUCGCUGGAGUCGCCCACCGCGCACACUUUGACGGUGGAUGCGGCAUCGUCUGCCUUGGAGCAUGCCAUAGACAUCAAGGUGUAG
rnacentral:rRNA from 1 species